UACGGAGGGUGCAAGCGUUAAUCGGAAUUACUGGGCGUAAAGCGUGCGUAGGUGGUUUGUUAAGUCCGUUGUGAAAGCCCCGAGCUCAACUUGGGAAUUGCAGUGGAUACUGGCAAGCUGGAGUGCGGUAGAGGAAGGUGGAAUUCCCGGUGUAGCGGUGAAAUGCGCAGAUAUCAGGAGGAACACCGGUGGCGAAGGCGGGUCUCUGGGCCGUAACUGACGCUGAGGAGCGAAAGCGUGGGGAGCGAACAGG
rnacentral:rRNA from 1 species